rnacentral:rRNA from 1 species
AGAGUUUGAUCCUGGCUCAGGAUAAAACGCUGGCGGCGCACAUAAGACAUGCAAGUCGAACGAACUUAACUCAUUCUUUUAGAUUGAGAGCGGUUAGUGGCGGACUGGUGAGUAACGCGUAAGGAACCUGCCUUUUAGAGGGGAAUAACAAUGAGAAAUCAUUGCUAAUACCGCAUAUGCCAUAAUUAUCACAUGAUAAUAGUGGGAAAGGAGCAAUUCGCUAAAAGAUGGCCUUGCGUCUGAUUAGAUAGUUGGUAAGGUAACGGCUUACCAAGUCGACGAUCAGUAGCCGGACUGAGAGGUUGAACGGCCACAUUGGGACUGAGAUACGGCCCAGACUCCUACGGGAGGCAGCAGUCGGGAAUAUUGCGCAAUGGAGGAAACUCUGACGCAGUGACGCCGCGUAUAGGAAGAAGGUUUUCGGAUUGUAAACUAUUGUCGUUAGGGAAGAGAAAGGACAGUACCUAAGGAGGAAGCUCCGGCUAACUACGUG